GAAAUGCAUAUCCUAAGAGGAAACAUGUGUGCACCUAUAGCAUAUUCCGGACAUGAUCUUGACACAUCUCUUUGUUGUGUCCCGCCAUUUCCAUGUCGAAAACGUUUCCAGAACAGGGAAACUUCAGAUGCUGCCGUUUACAUGCUUCGCAAUUCCUAAUUAAGUAGAAUUAUAGGAGAUUUGUGCCCCCAGGUGAGUCAUCGCCUUCUUCUUCUUCUAUGUGUGACGUGAUGCGGCUUUUGUCCUGUGUUUUUAACCUAAUCAUGUUCUUUUUUUCAAAGUGCAUUUCCUAAGAGGAAAC
rnacentral:misc_RNA from 1 species